UACGUAGGAGACGAGCGUUGUCCGGAGUUACUGGGCGUAAAGGGCGCGCAGGCGGCCGCCCGCGUGUGUGGUGAAAGCUCCUGGCUUAACUAGGAGAGGUCCAUGCAGACGGGGUGGCUUGAGCGUCGGAGAGGGGCAUGGAAUUCCGGGUGGAGCGGUGAAAUGCUUAGAGAUCCGGAGGAACACCAAUGGCGAAGGCAGUGCCCUGGCCGACGGCUGACGCUCAGGCGCGAAAGCCAGGGGAGCGAACGGG
rnacentral:rRNA from 1 species